UCUCCGUAGGUGAACCUGCGGAGGGAUCAUUACAGAGUUCAUGCCCUACCGGGUAGAUCUCCCACCCUAUGUUAUUAUUACUUUGUUGCUUUGGCGGGCCGUUAGGCUCCGGCCCGACUACCGGCCCCGGCUGGUGAGCGCCCGCCAGAGGACCCAAAACCCUGAAUAUUAGUGUCGUCUGAGUACUAUAUAAUAGUUAAAACUUUCAACAACGGAUCUCUUGGUUCUC
rnacentral:misc_RNA from 1 species